rnacentral:lncRNA from 1 species
GGUUAGACCAACUCCUACAAAUUCCAUUUAGACCGCCUACUUUGCUUGGCAAAUAUACACUCAUGGAAGAUGUAUUAGUGAAAAAAAAAUAUUCAUUUUAACCAAUCAGAAGUAUACCAGGGUUGUGAUUGAAAUGGAGACAACAACUCAUGAUUUGAACUUGAAUCUUCUGAAAUUAAAAUUCCUUCUGCACUGGUAGCUCUUCACAGUAAGACAUUCAGAGGGUGCUCCUUGUUUAUUCUAGAUUGGAGGACAAGAACCUGAACUGCGAUGUUGUCAUUCAGAAUGAGUAUUAGUUUGUCCCUAUGCUAUGGUAAUUACUAGGCAUUGUUAAGAAUGCUCUUAUGUAUUUCUUCUUCCAAAGAUGCUAAUAUCAGGCUGUGGUUGAUUCUCAUCUGAGUUUUAUUUAAUACAUUUUCCAGUUCUUUUCAGUUAAG